rnacentral:rRNA from 1 species
CGCCUUUGGAUUAUGAUCAAAAGGUUGAGCCUGCCCGGUGACGUAAGUUAAACGGCUGCAGUACUCUGACUGUGCAAAGGUAGCAAAAUCAAUUGUUCAUUAAUUGUGGACUGGAAUCAACGGCUUGACGAUAAGAAAGCUGUCUCUCUUUACUAAACUCUGAAGUUAGCUGGAUAGUGAAGAGACUCUCUUAGCAAAGCGGGACGAGAAGACCCCGUUGAGCUUUAGUAAAAAUUGUUUAUUAAAAACUUAAUUACUUGAGUUGGGGCAACUAUCUUUCUUUUUUAAAACAAAGGUAAAAAUGUUUUGAGUUGAUUCUUUUAUGACCCUUAAUCUUAGGAAUAGUAGAAAAAGUUACCACGGGGAUAACAGCGUAAUUUUUUUUGAGAGUUCUUAUUGACAAAAAAGUUUGCGACCUCGAUGUUGGAUCAUAGUUUCCGGGGGGUGCAGCAGCUCCCAAAGGUCGGUUUGUUCAACCGUUAAAGCUAUACGC